rnacentral:rRNA from 1 species
UACGGGGGGGGGCAAGCGUUGUUCGGAAUUACUGGGCGUAAAGAGCGUGUAGGCGGUCCGGUAAGUCCGCUGUGAAAGUCGGGGGCUCAACCCUCGAAUGCCGGUGGAUACUGUCGGGCUAGAGUGCGGAAGAGGCGAGUGGAAUUCCUGGUGUAGAGGUGAAAUUCGUAGAUAUUGGGAAGAACACCGGUGGCGAAGGCGGCGACCUGGUCCGAUACUGACGCUGAGGCGCGAAAGCGUGGGGAGCAAACAGG